rnacentral:rRNA from 1 species
CUUUAUAUCUACAUUGUAAAAUUUUAGAAGUAAAUUUAAGUAAAAGGUUAUAUAUGAUAUUUGGCUGGGGCGGCAUGGAUAAAAUUUUGUUAACUUUCCUUAAAAAAAUCACUCAUAUGUGAAAAUUUAAAGAUCCUUAUUAAAGAUUAAAAGAAAAGUU